UGCAGGCCGUGUUCAAAUUCAGUACCUGUCCUAUGCAUGGUAGGCACUGGGCCCAGAAGGCUGCCACAGAAACACUGUGACCCAUGGGCCCUGNUUCCUGUGUCCCAGGCUCAGGGAUAAAUUUUGGGUUACAGACAUCA
rnacentral:snoRNA from 1 species